rnacentral:rRNA from 1 species
UACAGAGGGGGCAAGUGUUAUUCGGAAUUAUUGGGCGUAAAGGGCGCGUAGGCGGCUUUUCAAGUGACGGGUGAAAUCCCUCGGCUUAACCGAGGAACUGCCUGUCAGACUGGAAGGCUUGAGACCGGGAGAGGUGAGUGGAAUUCCCAGUGUAGCGGUGAAAUGCGUAGAUAUUGGGAGGAACACCAGUGGCGAAGGCGGCUCACUGGACCGGAACUGACGCUGAGGCGCGAAAGCGUGGGGAGCAAACAGG